CCACAGCUUUCUUGAACU
rnacentral:miRNA from 2 species